AACGAACGCUGGCGGCGCGCCUAAUACAUGCAAGUCGAGCGAGAAGACGUAGCAAUACGUUUGUAAAGCGGCGAACGGGUGAGGAAUACAUGGGUAACCUACCCUCGAGUGGGGAAUAACUAGCCGAAAGGUUAGCUAAUACCGCGUACGCUCCUUGGACUUCGGUUCAGGGAGGAAAGCGAUACCGUGGGUAUCGCGCUCUUGGAUGGGCUCAUGUCCUAUCAGCUUGUUGGNGAGGUAACGGCUCACCAAGGCUUCGACGGGUAGCUGGUCUGAGAGGACGAUCAGCCACACUGGCACUGCGACACGGGCCAGACUCCUACGGGAGGCAGCAGUAAGGAAUAGUGCGCAAUGGGCGAAAGCCUGACGCAGCGACGCCGCGUGGGGGAUGAAGGUCUUCGGAUUGUAAACCCCUUUCGGGAGGGAAGAUGGAACGAGCAAUCGUUCGGACGGUACCUCCAGAAGCAGCCACGGCUAACUUCGUGCCAGCAGCCGC
rnacentral:rRNA from 1 species